GGAAUAUUGGUCAAUGGACGCAAGUCUGAACCAGCCAUGCCGCGUGAAGGAUGAAGGUCCUCUGGAUUGUAAACUUCUUUUAUCUGGGACGAAACCCGGGCAUUCUUGCCCGAUUGACGGUACCCGAGGAAUAAGCACCGGCCAACUCCGUGCCAGCAGCCGCGGUAAUACGGAGGGUGCAAGCGUUCUCCGGAUUCACGGGGUUUAAAGGGUGCGUAGGAGGGCAGGGAAGUCAGUGGUGAAAUCUCCGGGCUUAACUCGGAAACUGCCGUUGAUACUCUCUGUCUUGAAUGCCGUGGAGAUGAGCGGAAUAUGUCAUGUAGCGGUGAAAUGCUUAGAUAUGACAUAGAACACCGAUUGCGAAGGCAGCUCGUUACACGAACAUUGACUCUGAGGCACGAAAGCGUGGGGAUCAAAC
rnacentral:rRNA from 1 species